rnacentral:rRNA from 1 species
AUGGAGAAGGGGAAGGGGGAGAGGGACGUAGGACAAGGGCCUGGGAGUGUGCCAGCGAUCAUGGGGAGGGGAUCUCCUGUUCUGGCUCCCUUGCCUGAGGGUGAAGGGAAGACGGAGUCGAGGCGGCCCUGUGGGGAUGGUUCCCCGCUCAUUGUCGACAUGGAGGCAGCGAGAAGGGCCAUCGGUGGUUUCUUGGUGGUAGGGAGGCUCAUAUCGCCUUUCCAAGUAAACUCACGGAUCCUCGUCGAUGACCUUCGUGAUUCGUCGGCUUGGAGGCUGCGAGGUGAGGUCACCGUUCAGGAGGUGGCCAGCGACGACGGGAGGUUCAUCCUCAACUUCUCCGCCGACGUGGACAGACGUUUUCUGUUGAAGGCCCAACCAUGUCACCACAAACGCGACGGGAUCAUCUUCGCCGAGUUUGACGGCAAGGGUAACCCGGUGGAGGUGGAUCUUGGAACCAUGGCUAUAUGGGCCCAGGUUCGUGACCUUCCGUUCGAGCUCAAAACUGAAGAUAUGGGCAAGUCCCUAGGGGGCCAAAUUGGUGAAGUGAUAGCCGUUUCACACCAAAACCAUAUGAUUGUAGAGAAGUAUUUGCGUGUGCGUGUGAGAAUCCCGCUACAUGAGCCAAUCAAGAGUAGGGUAGAAUUUACUCCCUUAGGUAGCAAAGAAGAACUUCAGUAUGAUGUUCGCUAUGAAAAACUGCCGUCAUAUUGUGAGUGUUGUGGGCUUGUAGGACAUGUGUCUGAGCGGUUCUGUAGGAUUCCUAAGGAGAGCAGAGUAGCAAAUUUUGCAAAAAAUCUAGGUGUAGAGGCCUACUGGAAGGGUCAAACGUCUAGUAGAAGAGCCCUUUUGUACACAGGCUACAGGAACAACAACACAUCCAAGGCCACCAAAGGAAUGGUGGUCAAAGUGACCAAAGCUGUAGGUGAUCUCACUAUGAAGGAGAAAGUUGUUGUGUCGUCUACGAAGACGACGAUCUUGCCGACUGGGGGAUCAGGCCACGGGGGGCACUCACUCGACCAGGAGGGUCGGGGUCAUGUGCCCCCUCUGCCGACGUCCUCGGCUACAGGUCAGGUGGACCUGGCUCGAGGGCCGCUCGUAUGCGCCGGUCUUGGCCAGGAGGACCAGGACCUAGCGGCAAGGGGGGCUUCCACCACGGGAGCGAUGCAGCUCGGCCAGGAGGGCCGAGCCUCUGUGGCGUCGCUGCUAUCCCUGGGAAGUGGAGCCCCUGAGUGUCUUGCUGGCCAGGAGGGCCAGGGGAUCCACUCGAGGGGUGCAGCCAGUGCUGUACCUGAUGCGGCUGGCUCUCUUAACAUGCAAAAUCAGGUUGUGUUCGCUCCUGGUGUGCUGGAGGCACUUACAGGAGCUGUGGCCAUGAGGCUAGCUAGCCCGGCUACGGCAAAGGAAUCUGCAAUGUUUACUUUUGCUGCAAAAAAGAAUCCUAUGCAGGGCCACACAAAGAGAAAGGAGAAGAAAGGUAAAAAUAAGGGAGGGGAUGAGAAAGUUGAGAGUGCUCGAAAAGAGACCAUAGGAAAAAAGAGGGGUAAUCCAUUUGGGGUACUACCAACAGGGAGUGACCAAAAAAUUUCUUUUGAGAGGGAAAUAGAUAGCUAUGAAGGUGUGUUGUAUGGUGAGAUGAGUGUUCCUUAUAAAAGAGUUUGUAUGGGUAGAGUUGAAACUAUGAGGGAUGGUGAUGGGAUAGCCACACAUGUAGCAAAGGAAACAGAGGAGGAGGAGGCUUACGUGCAACAGAGCAGGGAAUCAGUUAGAGAUGAUGGCGCAUCAGCGGCCUCCGAGGAGGAGGACCGCCGGGCCAAAUGA